rnacentral:rRNA from 1 species
UACGAAGGGGGCUAGCGUUGCUCGGAAUCACUGGGCGUAAAGGGUGCGUAGGCGGGUCUUUAAGUCAGGGGUGAAAUCCUGAGGCUCAACCUUCAGACGUCGACCCAAACCCCCUGGCUAGAGUCCGGAAGAGGAGAGUGGAAUUCCUGGUGUAGCGGUGAAAUGCGCAGAUAUCAGGAAGAACACCCGUGGCGAAGGCGGCUCUCUGGGACGGUACUGACGCUGAGACGCGAAAGCGUGGGGAGCGAACAGG